UAAAUCUCAUCUCCGAGACUGACUUUCGCGGGAAAAAAAUUAAAAACCCAGCGUUCGUCAAUAAUUAUAUUUUUUGAGCAGAAAUUUCGCUCGGAACAUAUACAUAUUUAUAUUCNUUUGAAUCAUCGACGAAAUGACCUUUUCCGGAUAUUUUUUCCUUCGGAGUCAACAAAAACCUCCGAUUACAAAAUCACGCCGAACCCACACGUUGCAAAACAAUCUCUUCAAAACCCUGAUUUCGAAGCGAUAUAUCACUUAAUAGUUACCACACAUCGGCAGACGGUAAAUCUAUUCCUUAACAAUCCAGCUUUAUCGUGUUAAAAUUUCAGCAAAAUCGAGCAAAACCAGAAUUAAUUAGAAUUUUUUUGUGACCUCACUCCCCAGACUUGACCUAACAAAGGAAACCACUGUCGCCCAUAGCAACCGAAAAACACCAACAUAACAAAGCCCACGUUUCGGCCAAAAAAACUCCAGAAUUAUCGCCUGAGAGCUUAAACUUAAAUAGGAACAUCUUUUUCGAACUUUUUUCAACUCAUUUAGACGAAAGACUGGCCUCGGCGGGCUACA